UUACUUAACUGGAUGCGGUCAAUGGGCGAUCAAGAAGGCUCAUGGCCUAGGCUUGUGAACUCCAUUGCACUCGGGAGCAGUGCCAGCCUAAGGUCGACCCAAGUGGUCUAGCCUGGCAUAAGUUAUUUGUUGCCUGUAUUCGCGUGGAGCAU
rfam:Solanum lycopersicum cultivar Heinz 1706 chromosome 8, whole genome shotgun sequence.